UGUGAUGAUGCUCAAGAUGGCGUUGCCCAGGGAGCGGUGGUCGCUGUGGCUGUCGACUGUCUUCCUGUGUCCUUUUUUGUUGAAUGUUCUUUCUGUUGAUGUCGAAAAAUGCGAGGAACUGCGACUUGGGCAAUAUAUCUGUAAGGCUCCCAAGAUAAGUGACAUAACGCAAGAGCCAGAAAACUGCACAAAUAAUACUGCCUUUGUUCCUUGUACUCCAGCACCUAACAUCACCUGCAGCAAUCGUAGUGGCAUUGUGAGCACUUUCAGUGGAAAGGAAAUAGGUUUCUAUAAGCCUAUUCCAUGUCGUAAUGUGACUGGUUAUUCUUAUAAGGUGGCAGUGGCUCUUUCCUUAUUUCUUGGAUGGCUGGGAGCAGACAGAUUCUACUUGGGGUAUCCUGCUUUGGGUUUGUUGAAAUUUUGUACAGUUGGAUUUUGUGGAAUUGGCAGCCUCAUUGACUUUGUUCUUAUCUCUGUUCAGAUUGUUGGACCUGCAGAUGGCUCGAAUUACAUUAUAGAUUACUAUGGAGCAAGACUUACCAGAUUAUCAAUAGACAAUGAUACGUAUAGAAAGAGACAAACAGAUAUGUGAUCCUGACGGAUUUAGUUCUGCUACAAACCGACAUGAGGUACAAAAGUCUGAGGUCUCAUACUGCCAUGUUCAAGAACAGAGGAAGCCUGUCAAGGAAAUAAGGACGCAGUAUGAGCCUUGCAUGUGUAUCAGUGGCAAAAGCUUCAGACAACUUGAUGGAAUGAAGAUUUAAGAACAACGAUUGGUGUACAUAAAGCAAACAAUAUAGGAGUUGAACAGCUUUCUUUCCCAGUGAUGAGCCCCCUGGAAACCAACAGUAUGGCUGCCUGCAAAUAGAUCAAUCAGACUGCAUAUAUUCUUAAUCUUUGGUAUUUUGUUCCGAAAGCCUUUAUUUAUUGUGUUUGAAACAGUUCCACUUACAGUGAGGCCUUACGAAUCUCACAUAUCUUCUGAUCAUUACUGCAUUAAGUGAAUUAGGUGUUAGCCUGUGUGUGGUACCACUCUCCCUCUGAGCCACAAUAUUCACUUUUAGCAUCUAACCCAAACUUUUCCAUAAUACUGAAGAGAUGCAGCACUUUUGUAUAUUAUACCUUUUGGCUAAAUCAUUAAGCCAGUUGAAUUAAAAGGUCCCGUGAUGCAACUCAUUGCAGAGAUGAGCAUUUCCUUUUGAGUUGGUCAGUAAUGAACUGAAGCAGAUUAUAUCCAGUCAUUACUUCAUUAUCGUUCUUCAGCCUCUUGCUGAUGCAAAAUUUCUGCUACCUUUACUAGAUUCUAAGUGAGCACACUUCCGAAGUACUUUAUUGGAAGUAUCAUACUUUAAGAUGUUUGAGACGUGAAUUUGUAAAGGAAUUCAGUAUCAAUAAAAUCUAAUAGCUAUAUGUACUUAACAGUAAUGGGAAGCUGAUCAAUUGCAGUGGUAAUUUUUUUUUAAAAAAAAAGCAUUGACAUUCAGUUCAAAAAGGAAUAAGUCAUCCAAACUUGUAUAAAAUAUUUAAGUAUUUAUUUUUAGUUUAGCCGAUCCUUUCUGGAAUUUGGUUUUAUUGCUAGUUAAUAGUUUUUUUUCUUGAAACAAGAAAAGCUACAUAAAUAUCUUCAGGCUAGCAGGUCGAUGAAAAGUUUGAAGUAAACACUUAGACAUUUUCAUUUUUCUGGGUUCUUCCCAUAGCAAUUUGCAAUGAAGUUCCCACCAGGUCACUGAUUUCCAGUGAGAGUGAACUUUUUUCCUAUAUAAAGUGGAAAUUUGUACUGCCUGCUAAAGCUUUCUAAAAAUAGUGAGACUGAUUAUUUGGACUUUCAGAAAGUUUACAAAGUUUGCCACUUCACCAUAAAGCCAGGGUAGAAUAUUAUGCAGAAUGAAUAAAUAUUCUUUUUAUGUUUUUAAAAAAAGAGCAAUAUUAAAUUAAAGAGGAAGUUCAAGCCUGAUGGAGAGCAAUGUUUGUAUCCUAGGAGUCAAUUAACUUAAUUUUGACACUGAUUAUAAUCUUACAUGAAUUACUUUGAAAAUAAUAUUGCUAGAAUGCAACAGAAGAUUUCUAAUUUAAUUUAUGUGCUUCUUACAAUUCAUAGCUGCAGAAAGGUUAAUACUUAAAUGUAUGAUGGCUUUCAGAAGUUAUUGAGUUGUAAUUUCAGAAAAAAAAUCCUGAACUAUGUGUGAAUGUUAUAUUCAAAUUCAAAAGUCUGAUCAGAAUCUUAAAACUAUAUAUAGUAGUCAAUAGAUUUUUGGAUAUUAAAAGAAUCAAGGAAUAUGUGGUUAUUAUAAGAAAGUGGCACACAAAUAAACCAUUAGCCAUGAUACAAUUCAAUGGCAUAGCAGGUGUGUAGUUUGAAAUGGUUUUUACUCCUAUUAUUUAUGUAUUUAAGUACUAAAAAUUUGCAGUCAAUAAUUGUAGAUACAUAUAGCUUAAUACACAAGUAAAUGAAAUUGUGCAGUAUGAUUUCAGAAUAGCAGUAAAAGAAACUCAGAAUCCUCACAAUAAACAUGGAUCUUGGUUCCUUUAAUCAAUAGGGUGCCAUUGUACAGUUAAAGUAGAGUAAUGAAAUGUUUAAGGUAUGUGAGAACAACAAGCCAGAAAACCAAUAGUUUAAAAAAAAAACUAUUUGCUAAAUGUCGGCAGCCAUGGUUCAUUAUUUCUUCUUGCACAUUUGUGCAUGUUAUGCUUGUAAUUUCUGUCCUUUGUUGCCCAUCAUUGGAACGACAUUGCAUCAUUUUAUGAUUUUACUUGACACUAAACAGAGCAUACUGUUUCAGAAUUUGCUUCUGCAGUGUUUCUAAAAUCUUCAUUUAGCCGUCUCCUUUCCCACUUUUAUUUUGUACCUUGAGAUAGUACAGACUCUGCAGUAGUAAUCAUGUCAUAACUAGCGUAAUUCCCCGCCCGCUCACUAAAUCUAACAGCAGUGUUAUGGUAUAUGAGCAUCUGUAAUUUAAUGAUGAAAUCCAAAGUUGCUCUUGGCGAUUCAAUGGAUCUUAACAAGCAGGGCAACUUGCAAUCUUCUCCAUUAUAAUCAAGGGAGGUCUGAGGUUAGUUUAAGCUAUUAACAAAGUGGUGCCCCAUGCAUUUUUCUUGGAAUAGUCAUGCAAUGAAGAGCAAUUCCACAGUGCUUCUGGAGUGUUGCAAUCCAUGGCGAUUCAGGGCUUAGUUCUUUAGCCACUGGCCGGAAGUUGCUCAGAAGCACUGGAUGGUGACUCCCUCUGAUAGAGAGCAGGCAGGCUCUUGCCCACCUGUAGUUUUUUUACUUGAAGAUUGUCAUGAUUACAUCAUGUAAGGUUCCCUGGUUUUUCCUCUUCCCAGAUGUAGGCAUUAAGUUUGAGGGUUCAUAACUGAAGCUCUUUGGGUGUGAGUUUAAUCAUUUUUGUGGCGAUGCCACCUACUCCCAGGGCUUGCUAUCUUUUUAUUUGGAAUAUAUCCAUCCAGAUGACUUGUUGAUAAGGAGUGGCAACAAUGGUGGCCUGGAUAUGUUGUGGCAAGAGGAAGUCAAGAAUGCAUUAAUCAAGGACAGAUAUAUUUGGUGAGAUACUAAAAGUAUUCAUUUCCAGCAGGUAUUGCUAAUACUAUUCAUUGAAUGAUGAAAAGGGUAUUUGAAGACAUCUGGUGCCGAAGUCAUGGUCUACUGGACAUAGCCUACACAGAGGAAGGAGUGCAUCAUUCUACAGAUUGCCCAUUUGCCGCUUUGUGACCCAUCUAUGAUGGAGCACAGUUCCCAUGUUAGCCUCAUUCGGCAUCUCAGAACCCAAACACAAGAGUAGAAGCAAGUCAUUCUCGAUCCCAAGGGGCUGCAAAAAAAAAGAAACCCUUCCAGCCAUCAAGCAUCUUGAAAAUCCAAUGCUUAACAUCAUGAGUAUAAUAUUAUGUUAAUGCACAAUUACAGGUUAACAAAGUACCUGCCUCCACAAAAGCAAUUUUAUGCAUAUAUUAUGAUUUUCGCAUAAAUAAUUCAAAAUAUAUUCUUUUAAAAGUUUACUUAUAUCUGGGCUUUCUUAAAAUAGAGCACAUGUUUCAAUCUUAGAAUCUUUAAAAAGUUUAGUCAAAUUUUGAGCUAUAUUUUCAGGUAUGCCUUUGUUAGAAUUCAUUAAUGCUCUUUCUGUUCAGUUAGCUUGAUGAGUCCCAAAUGCUGGACAUUCAACUCAUGACCAAUUGAAGUAGCCAUCAGAAAAGUAAGCAUCACGAUCGACCACCAGGUUGUUGAAGGAAAUGUUUUUAAAAUUACUACCAAGCUCCCUUUCUUUACCAUUACUCUUAAAAUCUAAACAAGUAUGUUUUGUAAUCAUAACCAGCUCAACCUUUACACUAUUUGGUUCAAUUCCACAACCAUCUAUGUUCUGUAGAUUUUCUGAUGUUAACUUGUGCCUGAGCCAUACAAUUUUCCCCUUCAUAUGGUUACAGAGACAAACAUCAACAGUUUAGUUAGCUUUGGCAUAGGAUUCAAUGACAUUUUCUCAUCUCUAACUUGGUAUUUGUUGUAAAGCUCACAAGCAUAGCUAAUAGAUUCAUAAAACAAUUCAUAGAAAUAAUAGACAAUUUCGCUCUCAAGUCUUCUCGGCCACUCAAUAAAAUCCAUGCUAAAUCAAUCUUGGCCUCACUUCCUAAUGUUUUCCCCUCCCUCACUAUCAUAUGCCAGUUAUUUCCAUUGUAGUUCAAAUGUCCUUUAAUCUCAACCUUAAAAAUAUGUUCAUUCACUCCACCUUGAUUGUCUUCUGAGAGUGAAUUACAAAGAUUUGCUACCUUUUGAAAGAAUAAAUUCUUCCUCUGUUCCUACUUUUUCAUAUACUCGCUUCCCCAGUUCUGGUUACAGGCUCUCUAUAUGUUAAUGAUACCUGACUUACGGACAGUCCUAAAUAUUAUUAAAUUCCGAAGUCUUGCUCAGUCGUAUAUGCAUUCAUUCCCAUCUUUGUGCAAAGUUAACUUCUGGACAUCUGUAAAAUGGAACCUGUUCAUUACCUGGGAAUGUCCUGUAACUAGACUGUAUUAAGCAUUUUCUCAGCAUCCAUCUUGUCAAUUCCCCUUGAAAUCUUGUAUACUUCAAUAAGGAAAUCACUCAUUCUUCUACAUUCAAAGGGGUAUAGCCUCAAUCUGCUCAAUCUUUCUUCAUAGCAACCCCUUCAACCAACUCAAUGAAUCUUCCUUACACAGCCUUCUAAGACAAUAUAUCAUUCCUUAAACAUGGAAAUAAACACUAUGAGUAUUUGAGGUAAUGUCUCACCGGGAGUAAAUUUACAGGUUGUAAAGUUACUUCUAUGUUCCAUACCAUGUAUUAAAGCCAGCUUUCAAUUAGCCUUCCUAAUUACUUGCUAUAUCUGAAUGCUAACUUUUCAUAUUUUGUAUAUCAAUAUUUUGUAGUCUGGUCCUGUCUAAAUUUGCUUUCACAUUACUUCUUCCAAAGAGGAUAAUUUCACAUGAUACUCCAUCUGCCAACUUCUUCCCCAUUCACGUAACCAGUUUCCUUUUGCAAACUUCUAGAGUCCUUCAAAUAGCUAGCUUUUUUUUUUGUUUCAACAGAACAUCCCAAAUGAUGUUUUGUGCACCACACUGCGUAGUAGUUAAUGAUGUUAAUACAGCUCAGAGUGUUCAAGUGGUCAGAAUUCAAUUCCAGGGCCAUCUGUAAGAAGUUUGUCUGUUCUUCCCAAUAACCACCUGGGUUUCCUCCGAGGCUCCGGUUUCCUCCCACAGUCCAAUGAUGUUCCAGUUCGUUGAUUGAUUGAUCAUUGUAAUUUAACUUGUGACUAUAGUCUGGCAUUAAUAUGUGGCUUUUUGGAAAGAAAGAGCAUGUUCUGUGCUCCAUCUCUAAAUAAGUAAAUAAACAACCAAGCACGUUUGUUUACUGGUCUUUCUAUUCAAGUCAUUAAUAUAAUUUGAAAAUAUUUGUGCCCGACACUAAUUUCUGUGGCACCCCAGAAAUUACUGAAUGACAAUCUGAAAAUGACCUAGGCAUCCUGAUUCUCUGUUGCUGUUAGUCCUCCAUGUCUGUGAAUAUACUACCCCAAGUCUUGUGCCCAGUUGAACUAUAACCUUUAGACUCUAAACUAACCUUUAUUACUUCAUUGAAGGCGUUCUGGAAACCUAAAUGCACCACUGGUCUUGUUUAUCCACCUUCUUUAUUCCAUUCACAGGGAACUCCAGUGAAUUUGUCAAACAUGAUUUCCCUUUCAUAAAGACAUGUUGACUUGAUUCUAUAAUGAUUUUCUAAACAUUUUACAAUUAUCUAAUUAAUGGAUCACGGUAUUUUUGCAAUGACAGGUGUCAUACUAACUGGCCUACAGUUUCCUGCUUUUUUUUCUCCUCUUUGAACAACCGUAUUAUAUUUGUAGUUGUCGUCUGGGAGUUUUAAUUUGCUGAUUUACCUGUGAUCAAAAAGUGUUUGCACUGAAAUAUUUAGAUGAGAUCAAGAUAUUUUUGCCUUUGAAAUUCUCACAAUGUCUUUUUUGAAUAUGGCCUUUUAAAGAGUUUGGUCCUUCUUUUACAGUUUCAACAUUGAACUCCUGUAAAGGCUGCAGCUCUUCAUGUUUUACUUAUGGUUUAAUACUCAUUCAAAGUAAUAGAACGUUAUGAAAAUUCAGUAACCUCAUUGCAUCACUUAAGGCACUGAUUCCUGGCUGAGUCCCAGAUUCUUUAAGUACCAAAGAGGAAUCGUAAAGAACAUUCACAAAUGAAUAUUAUCAUUUAAAAAUAAUUGUACUUUAAUAUACAGUAUCAGUAACAUUUUUUCAGAUUUUUUUUGUCUUGUGUAAGUUGAUAGCUUCUCAAAAAUUACAAAUGUUACAAUUUUAUGUUUUAGUGUAAGAGGAGAUAGAAAUCAGAGGCUAAUUAUAUUUCAUUGUAUACACUUCGUAUUUUGAGAAAAAACUGAUCUGCCUCAGAAAUCAAGCAAAUAUUAAUGAUUCCAAGAUGGUGAUCAUUAUUCACAGUCAUUGCUGGUUGAUUUAUUAACUGACAUUUAAACAAUUUAUCACUAUUUGGUUUCUGGUUCCACCCAUUCUCCAGAGGGAAACAAUUUGAAGUCUUGCAGUUAAUAACUUCUAAUUUUAGAGGCAGCAGUUGAGGAUAAGAUACUGAGGGGCAUUAUAGAGGUUUUGUAUUUCGCUGUUGUGAAUUGUUUUAUUAGCUGGGUAGGUUGUGGAGAACUAACUUUAAAUACUACACAAAUACUGACAACAAUUGAGGACAAUAAAAAUGAAUUGUCUUGGAAAACUUUUUGUGGUGAUGAUUAAGCUGUAUGAUGUUUCAGUCAAUUCAUGUAACUUAAGGAGCAAUAGUUUAAAAAGAAAAGUAGUUCCUCUCCUUGGUUAGUGAAAUGUCAUUCAGGAAGUUUUUUUCUGAACAAUCUUGCCUGGUUUACUUUAUAUUGGAAGCUGAGAUGUUCAUUAACACAGCAGCAAGAAGCUGGAGCAGCAUGCCUAAGCUUUGGUGGUUAUGCAGAAAAGUUACUUUAUGAAUUAAUAGUGACUGGCAAAUAUAAUAAAAUAAGUGAAUUUUAAUUAACCUACA